ensembl:piRNA 21ur-1172 ncRNA
UCAGUAAGGAUUGCGCAAAUC